CCUGUAACCUUCGGGGCAAGGUUCGUGUGGAUGCUUCUUCUGGUCUGACGUACCUCCUAUCUAAUGUUGAUACGGCGGCCUUUGAUAGAUUGGAGUGUCUUGCCUGGUCUUGGGAAGCCGAGGCCAUGCUUGACUUGAUGGAGGGGGAACCGGGUCAGCUUCGCUAUGAGGGCAGCCUCACCGCUUGCUCCAUAUCAGUUCAAAGACAACUGCUGU
rnacentral:SRP_RNA from 1 species